UACAGAGGGUGCAAGCGUUAAUCGGAGUUACUGGGCGUAAAGGGCGCGUAGGUGGUUGUGUAAGUUGGAUGUGAAAUCCCUGGGCUUAACCUAGGAACUGCAUUCAAAACUGCACAGCUAGAGUAUUGUAGAGGGUAGUGGAAUUUCCGGUGUAGCGGUGAAAUGCGUAGAGAUCGGAAGGAACACCAGUGGCGAAGGCGGCUACCUGGACAAAUACUGACACUGAGGCGCGAGAGCGUGGGGAGCAAACAGG
rnacentral:rRNA from 1 species